rnacentral:rRNA from 1 species
CCUACGGGAGGCAGCAGUGGGGAAUAUUGGACAAUGGGGGGAACCCUGAUCCAGCCAUGCCGCGUGUGUGAAGAAGGCCCUCGGGUUGUAAAGCACUUUCAGUGAGGAAGAACGCCUGGUGGUUAAUAUCCAUCAGGAAAGACAUCACUCACAGAAGAAGCACCGGCUAACUCCGUGCCAGCAGCCGCGGUAAUACGGAGGGUGCGAGCGUUAAUCGGAAUUACUGGGCGUAAAGCGCGCGUAGGUGGCUUGAUAAGCCGGUUGUGAAAGCCCCGGGCUCAACCUGGGAACGGCAUCCGGAACUGUCAAGCUAGAGUGCAGGAGAGGAAGGUAGAAUUCCCGGUGUAGCGGUGAAAUGCGUAGAGAUCGGGAGGAAUACCAGUGGCGAAGGCGGCCUUCUGGACUGACACUGACACUGAGGUGCGAAAGCGUGGGUAGCAAACAGGAUUAGAUACCCCGGUAGUC